rnacentral:rRNA from 1 species
GAUGAACGCUAGCGGCAGGCCUAACACAUGCAAGUCGAGGGGCAUCAUGGCGUAGCAAUACGCUGAUGGCGACCGGCGCACGGGUGCGUAACGCGUAUGGAACCUACCCACCGCAGGGGGAUAACCCGCCGAAAGGCGGACUAAUACCCCAUGGUUCCCCGACCCUGCCUGGGGUUGGGGGUAAAGCCUACGGGCGGCGGUGGAUGGCCCUGCGUGCCAUUAGCUGGCUGGUGGGGUAACGGCCCACCAGGGCGACGAUGGCUAGGGGGUCUGAGAGGACGAUCCCCCACACUGGUACUGAGACACGGACCAGACUCCUACGGGAGGCAGCAGUGAGGAAUAUUGGUCAAUGGGCGAAGCCUGAACCAGCCAUGCCGCGUGCAGGAUGACGGCCCUACGGGUUGUAAACUGCUUUUCCCCGGGCGAAUAACCCCUCGCGAGGGGAUGCCGUACGGGGAACUAAGGAUCGGCUAACUCCGUG